rnacentral:rRNA from 1 species
ACUGGGCGUAAGCGCGCGUAGGUGGUUUGUUAAGUUGGAUGUGAAAUCCCCGGNNNCAACCUGGGAACUGCAUCCAAAACUGGCAAGCUAGAGUAUGGUNGAGGGUGGUGGAAUUUCCUGUGUAGCGGUGAAAUGCGUAGAUAUAGGAAGGAACACCAGUGGCGAAGGCGACCACCUGGACUGAUACUGACACUGAGGUGCGAAAGCGUGGGGAGCAAACAGGAUUAGAWACNNNNGUAGUC